rnacentral:rRNA from 1 species
UACGGAGGAUGCGAGCGUUAUCCGGAUUUAUUGGGUUUAAAGGGUGCGUAGGCGGAUCGUUAAGUCAGUGGUCAAAUUGGGGGGCUCAACCCCUUCCCGCCAUUGAAACUGGCGAUCUUGAGUGGAAGAGAAGUAUGCGGAAUGCGUGGUGUAGCGGUGAAAUGCAUAGAUAUCACGCAGAACCCCGAUUGCGAAGGCAGCAUGCCGGCUUCCGACUGACGCUGAGGCACGAAAGCGUGGGGAUCGAACAGG